CUCUUUCGAUAAAUGAAGCAGGUAGCGUGCUACCUUUUCCUCAAAUAAUAAUAAUAAUAAUAAUAAUACAAGUGACGAAGCCUAUUUACUACUGAUAGUAUUUCAACUCAACUCAGAGAGAGUUGAGCAACAAAGUCCAUUUACUACCGAUAGUAUUCCAGUUCAACUCAGAGUGAGUGAGCUGAAAUAUUAUCGGUAGCAAACGGACUCUAUUGCUACCGAUUUAUUUUCGAUGAUGGAGCCUCGAUAUCGACGAUCGGCACUAUUGAACAUGAUUUAUACCACUUGAAAUAUUUAGAAACCAAAUUUCAAAUCUUUUAUAUCAUUAGGUGACCCAAUGAUCAAAAGGUUGCAACAUUUAUAAUUUUAGUGGACGAUAUGAGACGUUUUCUCGUUUAACGGCAUAAAGAUAUCUAAAUCAAUUGAAUUUUGAUUAGAAAAUUCUUUAACUAUUUAAAACAAGAUAUAUUCUCUUGAUCUUGA
rnacentral:lncRNA from 1 species